rnacentral:misc_RNA from 1 species
UGUUAACCACUUUGCUUCUGUGAGUGUCACUUACUAAUUCUUUGAUGUUCUUUCUUUGUUUCAUGUUUAAGUUGAUAAUUGUGAAUUUCUAUAAAGUACUUUUAAUUCUACCAGUAUGGGAACUUGAUCUUAACAAUGUUUUGAAAAAAUGAAUAGAACAUGCAUAACAAUUUAAGGAAAGGCUGAUCAGGGAAUGAUUCAAUCAAUUAAGGCUGCUAUUGUUAGUUUUAUUAAGUACAUAAAUAUAGACAAUAAAAUUCUUUAUUCAUUGAACUUUUGCCGACUGCUUGGGACAGCUGAAGUCUACUUGAUUUUCAAUCAUGAUGCAUGUUUUAUACACAAGCAAAUUUCACGUUGAGGUUCUGUUGCAUAAGCAUUUACAUUUUCCUUCUGCAGAGCAUAUACUGUGAGAAAAUAGAGUUUGCACAAGAAUGAGAACCGAUGAAGUCUCAAUUUUAUUAACCAAAUGGCCCCUAAGUUUAUUUGUUUACACUUUUUUGUUUCGUUUUUUAGAAAUUUAAAUUUGCUAGUUUAUGAAUCUCUUAAAUUACCUGUUUUAUAUAUUUUAAUUUGGAUCUGACUGGAACUCCGUCCUUGGCUGUGCAGGAUAUUCAUUUUCAGGGCAAGGAA